rnacentral:lncRNA from 1 species
GUUACAUUAUUUUCUUUGAAAAUUUCUCUGUGGUUUCUUUUCUUUCUGUUUGAGCCACAUAUUUCCAUGCCUUAUGCUGGCAGUUUAGCUGUCGUAUGAAUCAAUAUCUUUUGGCUUUGUGCUACUGUGUCAUAGGAAGAUACAAAUUUGACAUAUCUGUAGCUAUAUAUGAAUCAAUUAAUCAAUUUGAGCAAUCUGGAUUGUGUCCAGCUGAUAAUUGUUGUCAUCUUUUAAUCUACCUGGAUCUAUUUCAGGAUGGUGAAGACCAAUCUUUGGAGGUACCUGCUGCAAGACCCUUUGAAGAUAGCAGUGAGAGAUUGAAUAGGUUAAUUGCUAUGCAGAAAAGGUUAUCAGAAGCAACUAGGGAAGCAUUGCCAACUCAAGUGAGAAAGAGAAUAAGACUAACUUCAGCAGUUAAUACAUCAAAUGUUCAGUCAGCUAGCUCUCCUACUCCAGUUUCUCCUGUUCACAAGAGAAAUAAAAGAACCGGUUCAAAAAAAUCACUUGUUUGGAAGCAUUUCAGUACGGGAUUAAGAGGUCAACAUCCUAUUGCGACAUGCAGAUAUUGUGGUCAAGAAUAUAAUUGUGAUCCAUCAACUCAUGGGACAAGCACCUUAUGGAACCACCUAAGGAUAUUAUGCCCCCAGCAACCACUAAAGGGUCAGGAGUUGCAAAGGAAGAACCAAGGAACACCCAAGCAUUCUUACAGCAUUGAAGACUGUCGCAAAGCACUUGCUGAGAUGGUAUUGAUUGAUGAAAUGCCCUUCACAACUGUUGAGGGUGAAGGGUUCAAAAGAUAUUCUAAAGUGUUACAGCCGAGAUUUGACCUCCCCUCUAGAGUCACAGUAGCAAGGGACUGCAUGCAGAGAUAUUUUGAAGAAAAACCCAAGUUGAAGAAAGUAUUGAAAAAUCAAAGAAUUUGCCUAACAACGGACACUUGGACUUCUAAGCAAAAUUUAUGCUAUAUGUGUCUCACUGGAUAUUGGAUUGAUGAUGAAUGGAAGCUGCAAAAACGGAUCCUUAAUUUCUGUUCAGUAGCAGACCACAAAGGAGAGACACUUGGCAAAAGGGUUGAAGAAUGUUUAUUGGACUGGGGCAUUGACCGUCUAUUCACAGUGACAGUUGAUAAUGCAUCUUCUAAUGAUAAGUUAAUUCGAUACUUGAAGAGUGUAUGCAAGAAUUGGCAAGGAGUCGUGCUAAAUAACAAAUUUCUACAUGUGAGGUGUUGUGCCCAUAUUGUUAACCUGGUUGUGAAGAGCGGACUUGAAGAACAUAAUGAGUCUAUUGAGAAAAUCAGAAUAGCAGUAAAAUUUGUGAGAUCUUCACCAUCAAGACUGAAGGUAUUCAAGAAAUGUGCAGAAUUGGAGAAAAUUUCAAGCAAGAGCCUUUUAACCUUAGAUCUAGAGACCAGGUGGAACUCUACCUUUCUAAUGUUGGAGAGUGCAGAAAAGUUUGAGAGAGCUUUUGCAAGACUAGAAAAGGAGUACAUUCCAUUCAAAGCAUACUUCCCAGACAAAGAUCCACCCAAUACAGACGAUUGGCGAAUAGCAAGGCGCAUAUUGUGCUUCUUGAAACUAUUUGAAAAGGUCACCACUCGUCUGUCC